GUUUGUCAUUCUUAAAUAUUCCUUUCCUAUCUUAUUAGACAAAGUAGAUAAAUAUUCGCUAUGAAAUUUACAUAUUUAUUUUUCACCUAAGCCUCUUGUUGGUCUGGAAAUAAUUUUGCUCUGAGAGAUGACUCAUUUUAUUUUAGCUGCUUUUUUCCAAAUGAAGAGCUGGUCCUAAUGCAAUUUUUAUUAAUUUGCUGAUUAUAGAUGCCAUCUUUACCUGUAGUUAUACCUAAGUGUAUAUACAUUCUGUUUCAUGUAUCCAUCUCUUUCUCCCUAGGUCAGUACCUCCCUUUUAAAAACUAUUAUAGUUUAUAAAGAGCAUUUUAAUACUUCAGAAAUCUCCUUAUUAAAAAAAUCCUGUGUAUUCUAGAUGAUUUAUUCUUCUAAAUGAAAUAAAGGGCUGCUUUGUCAGUCUCCUCAAAAACUAUAAUUAUAACAAUUUAUAACAGCUGAAGAUGUUUAAGAACUUCUCACCAAAGCACAUCACUUGGAAAACACAGCUCAUGUAAGCUUGCUUAUAACAGCUUCACUUUCCCCAAAUAGACCAGAGGGAAAAUAAUUCUGAAGAACAGGACUUGGAAGUAUUUGGGUUGCAAUUGUUACUACAUAGCCAACAUUUUGGAGAAAGAAAUUGAGCAACCGAAGAAGCGGAAAAGGAGACACUAGAUCAGCUACAGCAAAGAGAAGAUCAGCUCGAUGAAUACAAGCAGAAAGAAGAACUGGAGGUUCUCCCAGACAGGGAACUCUCUGUCUUUUGUAAUGCUGAAAUGUGGCUGGAUCUAUUACUCCUCAAUUCUGAAGAUUAACUUCAAAAUCCUUAGAAGAAGAGAACAAACGGUAAAAAUCAUAUUUAAAAUUCUGUGAACCUUAAUUAUUAAGUAUACUUUUGAAGCAAACAUUUAAAAACAUUCUAGUGUCCACUGUUUACAUAGCAAUUACAUUAUAAAUUAUAAUUAAAAAAUAAGAUCUUAUUCUAAAUGUGGUAUUUAAACAACAUUGUAAUAAACGCAUAAGGAAAAAAUUCCUUU
rnacentral:lncRNA from 12 species